CCUCCAUCUAGAGUCUUUUUUCGCUGCACAUAUAGUGACCACGAACCACAAGAUAGAUUUUAGAUUUUUUGAGAAGUAAAAAUUUUUUAUUGAUAGAAAAUAAAGAAGCAAGUGUGGCAAUUUCUUUAUUCUUUGGAUGUUCCGACCUACCCAAGUCUAGUAUAAGAGUUCUACGGGAGUCUUUGAUGGGAAUCAAACGAUGUUGAGGCCAUAGUGAAGGGCACAUGGAUGAUUUGGAGCACAAGUUUGCUCAAGUUCUUCAGUUGCCGCAUCAAUGUACGAUGUUGAAUCAUCUAUUUGAUCGUGCUAGAUCACUCAAAGCUAUCCUUGAGAGGGAGGAGGUCAAUGUCUUGGAGGAGCUCUUCACGAACUAGAUGUCUGCAGAGAUGAGACUCCUUCACCAUAUCAUCGAGAGAAUUCUUUUUUUGAAGACUGGUCACUUUGACUUCACUUCUCAGAGGGAUAUAAUCUUCAUAUAGCUCGUCAUCUAGGGUAUCCCCUUAGACCUUCCAACACUGAUGUUUCACCAGAUGAGGGAGGCAACUGACAGGAUGAAGGCUUGCCUACCUUAUACA
rnacentral:lncRNA from 1 species